CCUGGCGGCACUAGCGCGGUGGUCCCACCUGACCCCAUGCCGAACUCAGAAGUGAAACGCCGUAGCGCCGAUGGUAGUGUGGGGUCUCCCCAUGUGAG
rnacentral:rRNA from 2 species